CGCGGGGGGGAGCAGUCUGGUAGCUCGUCGGGCUCAUAACCCGAAGGUCGCAGGUUCAAAUCCUGUCCCCGCAA
rnacentral:tRNA from 1 species